rnacentral:rRNA from 1 species
UACGUAGGGUGCAAGCGUUGUCCGGAAUUAUUGGGCGUAAAGAGCUCGUAGGCGGUCUGUCACGUCGGCUGUGAAAACCCGAGGCUCAACCUCGGGCCUGCAGUCGAUACGGGCAAACUAGAGUACUGCAGGGGAGACUGGAAUUCCUGGUGUAGCGGUGAAAUGCGCAGAUAUCAGGAGGAACACCGGUGGCGAAGGCGGGUCUCUGGGCCGAUACUGACGCUGAGGAGCGAAAGCGUGGAGAGCGAACAGG